rnacentral:rRNA from 1 species
AGGAAGGUAGUGUAGUUAACACCUGCACUAUUUGACGUUACCUACAGAAGAAGCACCGGCUAACUCCGUGCCAGCAGCCGCGGUAAUACGGGAGGGUGCGAGCGUUAAUACGGAAUUACUGGGACGUAAAGCGCAUGCAGGCGGCCUGUUAAGUCAGAUGUAGAAAGGCCCGGGGACUUAACCGUACGGUAAUUGCUAUUUAGUAAACUGGCGAGGCUAGAGUCUUGUAGAGGGGGGUAGGAAUUUCAGGUGUAGCGGUGAAAUGCGUAGAGAUCUGAAGGAAUACCAGUGGCGAAGGCGGCCCCCUGGACAAAGACUGACGCUCAGAUGCGAAAGCGUGGGGAGCAAACAGGAUUAGAUACCCUGGUAG